GGGAUCUUAAGUUAGUUGAGACUGUUGGCCUUCAAAGCCGAAAGCGUGCCAGGUGGUACAGAACUCG
rnacentral:tRNA from 1 species